rnacentral:rRNA from 1 species
UUCCUACGGGAGGCAGCAGUGGGGAAUANUGGACAAUGGGGGAAACCNUGAUCCAGCCAUGCCGCGUGUGUGAAGAAGGCCUUUUGGUUGUAAAGCACUUUAAGCAGUGAAGAAGNCNUAAUGGUUAAUACCCAUUAGCGAUGACAUUAGCUGCAGAAUAAGCNCCGGCUAACUUUGUGCCAGCAGCCGCGGUAAUACAGAGGGUGCAAGCGUUAAUCGGAAUUACUGGGCGUAAAGCGAGCGUAGGUGGCUUGAUAAGUCAGAUGUGAAAUCCCCGGGCUUAACCUGGGAACUGCAUCUGAAACUGUUAGGCUAGAGUAGGUGAGAGGGAAGUAGAAUUUCAGGUGUAGCGGUGAAAUGCGUAGAGAUCUGAAGGAAUACCGAUGGCGAAGGCAGCUUCCUGGCAUCAUACUGACACUGAGGCUNGAAAGCGUGGGUAGCAAACAGGAUUAGAUNUCAU